GAUUUUGAACUUCGAAUUUUCGGUUUGCAAGCAUGGAGAUUGCUUGAGGUGUUCAAGUUCGAGUUUCAAAUUGCUGUCCGCUGGUGAAUUUCGGUCGUGGUUCCUUGUUUGAAGUUGUUUCUGUUUUCUCACUUGGAUUUCAGCAUGGGGAUUGCUUGAGGUGUUCAAGUUCGAGUUUCAAAUUGCUGUCCGCUGGUGAAUUUCGGUCGUGGUUCCUUGUUUGAAGUUGUUUCUGUUUUCUCACUUGGAUUUCGGGUUCAAAGCUUUGUUGUCGAACCUCUUACCUUCUGCUAUUUAGAAGAAAUUUUCGAUUCUCAGUGGUCUUGCAUCGAUUCAUAUCAGUUCUUUGACUACAAAUGAAAGACAAUUUCAAGCAACCAUAUACUUGAUACCUAUUUGAUCAUUUAAACUCUUUGGUUGAAUCUAAGUGCCAACUGAGUUCUGAACUUGUUCUUUGGUGUUCACUGAUCGUUGUCGGCACGGUCAGUUUGACUCGGCAUUUAGAAAUGUUACAACUCCUUGCUAAGUUUUAGUCGGAUCGUAUUAUAAAUUAGUUCAGUUCGUACCCUAUUGCGAGGCUUGUUUCUUCCCUGUCGUGAUGUACAUGUUUGGUCGUUGGUGUUAGUUAUAGUUCAACUCUCUCUUACAGUCUUGUUAUCUCUCCAAUAAAUGUGUCCACACGGAUAUUUAAUCCAUCUCUCUGGUUGAGCUAAGCUGGUAACGAUGAAUUUUGUCAAGAAUAUAGCAGUUACUGUCUUCCAAACAUUUCUGUGCUUACAUAUGCGUCUCAGCAUCAAAUAAAAGACCGAAUUCUUCUUUCGUUUUUCUGCUGAUUGAAUUGAGUUACCCUUUUACCUAGAAAAGAAAAGGGAAAUUUGGUUCCCGGAUAGUCAUUGUUGUAAGAUUGCUUGGUAUCCUUGGGUAAUGUUAAUGUUGCCAAGAAAUUCGACUCACUAAAUUGGAACGUUGGUGAACUUGGUUUAAAUUUUGGCUUCUUUUCCCAAUGGCUGGAGAGUUUGCAUCUGUUGAAGGAUAGCUUUGUGUUUUGUUGAUCUAAUGACCUGUUAUAAGGACUAAUUCAUUUUCUCAAGUCCCCAUGUUAAUUAAGUUUGGUACAAAGUGCUUUUCUAUGUGAGCAUUUUCUUUUUUUCUGAGGUUCAUAACUCGGAAUUCAUGAUUUUGAGCAUGUAAACAUGUGUGUUUCUGAUAGCUGGAAGGUCGGGAAUUGAGAACUGAGGUGCAUAAAUGUGUUUAAUGGAAUUUUAGGUGGC